rnacentral:rRNA from 1 species
AGUGAACGCUGGCGGCGUGCUUAACACAUGCAAGUCGAACGGGAACGGAUUAUAGCUUGCUAUAAUUGUCAGCUAAGUGGCGCACGGGUGAGUAAUGUAUAGGUAAUAUGCCUCUUACUAAGGGAUAACAAAUGGAAACGUUUGCUAAUACCUUAUACUCCUUAUUAACAUAAGUUAAUAAGGGAAAGAUUUAUUGGUAAGAGAUUAGCCUGUAUUGUAUCAGUUAGUUGGUGGGGCAAUGGCUUACCAAGACUAUGACACAUAACUGGUUUGAGAGGAUGAUCAGUCACACUGGAACUGAGACACGUUCCAGACUCCUACGGGAGGCAGCAGUGGGGAAUAUUGCACAAUGGACGGAAGUCUGAUGCAGCAACGCCGCGUGGAGGAUGACACAUUUCGGUGCGUAAACUCCUUUUAUAUGAGAAGAUAAUGACGGUAUUAUAUGAAUAAGCACCGGCUAACUCCGUGCCAGCAGCCGCCGCAGUAA